rnacentral:rRNA from 1 species
CCCUUAGAUGUUCUGGCCGCACGCGCGCUACACUGAUGCAUUCAACGAGUCUAAAACCUGCUCUGAUAGGGGUGGGUAAUCUUUUGAAUGUGCAUCGUGAUUGGGAUAGAUGAUUGCAAUUUUUCAUCUUCAACGAGGAAUGCCUAGUAAACGCAAGUCAUCAGCUUGCAUUGAUUACGUCCCUGCCCUUUGUACACACCGCCCGUCGCUCCUACCGAUUGAAUGAUCCGAUGAAUAUCAUGGAUUGAGGAUGCAAGUAGGUUCGCCUAUCUUCAUCUUCGAGAAGUGAAGUAAAUCUUAUCAUUUAGAGGAAGGAGAAGUCGUAACA